UACGUAGGGCGCAAGCGUUGUCCGGAAUUAUUGGGCGUAAAGGGCUCGUAGGCGGUCCAUCGCGUCGGGAGUGAAAAGCUGGGGCUUAACCCCAGUCCUGCUUCCGAUACGGGUGGACUAGAGGUAGGUAGGGGAGAUCGGAAUUCCUGGUGUAGCGGUGAAAUGACGCAGAUAUCAGGAGGAACACCGGUGGCGAAGGCGGAUCUCUGGGCCUUACCUGACGCUGAGGAGCGAAAGCAUGGGGAGCAAACAGG
rnacentral:rRNA from 1 species